CUUUAACCAGUUCAAAAGCAGAUAACUUUCAGAGUUUCCGUUCAGAUUGGCCAAGUGAUAAACACUUACCAGUCGUCACUGGUUCAACCGUAAAUCAUUCCCCUUGUCUCUAAGCUCUCCAUCCAGUGAAAUCCAACGUUCUGAAGCACCGGCUCGCCUCUGCGGCGUAGCAAAGAUGCGAGCCAUGGGCUAAUUUUAGGAAUAAAAUCACUUCUCCUGCACAGUCGUGUGCGUGGCACUCAUAUUUUUUAUUCAUGCUAUACCAUUCUUGCUAUAAUAAUCUUUCGAAUAAAGGUUAGGGUUUCAGCAAUGGAACCACCGACAGAAGACUACCACCACCAUCCUCACCCUCACCAUUACCACCACCACACUAACCAUCCGGAGCAGCAUCAUCCCAACUAUUUCCAGAACCAGCUUCAGCCUCCACUCCCGCCCCAACCUCAGCCUCCACUCCCGCCCCAAUCUCAGCUUCAGCCUCAGCCCCAGCACCACUAUUUUAACCGCCACGAUCACUUUGCCGAGCAGAAUCAAUUCAACAACCAGAACCUUAAUUUACAUUCUAAUUUCGAUGCUAACCACCAGCGGAUGAACGCCGAGUCAAAUGAAUCGUUUGGUGGAGGAUUCUUCUCCAAUGGCCGCAAAAGAGGCCGAUAUUUUUCUGGCCGUCCAGGUUCUCCAGAUCAUAAUCUUGAUGCUGCUAGUGUAAAACUGUUUGUUGCACCGGUUCCAAUACCUACAACCAUAGAAAAUAUCUGCCCCUUGUUUGAAGCACAUGGAAGUAUUGUGGAGGUAAUUCUUCCUAGGGAUAGGCGGAGUGGCCAGCAACAAGGGUAUUGCUUUGUGAAAUAUGCAACAAUAGAGGAAGCUGACAGGGCUAUCAGGGCUUUAAAUGGUCAGUAUACUAUUCCUGGGGAAGUUCAUCCCCUUAAAGUCAGGUAUGCUGAUAGGGAGAGGGAACGCCUUUGUAAGGUUGAGAGGGAAUGCCUUGGGGGCAGGGAGGUUGUGGACAAACUAUAUGUUGGUUGCAUUAACAAACAAGCUUCAAAACAGGAAAUUGAGGAAAUAUUUUCUCCAUAUGGUCAUGUGGAAGAUGUUUACAUUGUACGGGAUAAUCUGAAGCAAAGUCGUGGAUGUGCAUUUGUUAAGCUACCUGACAGAGAUAAGGCAGUGGCAGCAAUCAAAGCAUUACAUGGAACUUUCACAAUGAGAGGUUGUGAUCAACCUUUGAUAGUUAAAUUUGCAGAUCCCAAAAAACGCAGGGCUGGAGAAUUAAGGGGAAAUAUUCCAUUUAGUGGACAAAAUUUUGGUCCCUGUUCUCAAGAACCAAUGAAUAGGCCAAUACCCAAUUUUUGCGAUUCUAUGGCGGGGGGUGUUUUGCCUAAUGCUUCAUAUCCUAUGCAUGAAACUCCAACAAAUUCUCAACCACUAGCCAUUACCAACACAUUGGCGCAUUCUGCUCCGCAAACCAUAACACAACCACUUUCUCCAGUAAAGCAGCCACCAUUACAGUUGUAUCAGAUGCCCUUACAACAGACACAAGGUCCGCAAAAUCUUAUGCAAUCUUCUCAAGAAACAGUCACUGAAAUGAUGAAACAGACUCAAAAUGUAGAGCAGCAGCAGAGCGUACAGAUUCCCCUGGAGUCUCCAUGUAGUGGAGGCCAUCCUCCAGCUGUAAAUGAUACUUCUGCUGACUCUUUGGUACCUCCAAGUCACCAGACAGAAGAUCCACAAGAGUGUGAUUGGAGUGAGCAUAGCUGCCCUGAUGGGUACAAAUACUAUUAUAAUUGCAUGACUUUGGAAAGCAGAUGGGAGAAGCCUGACGAAUUCAUCUUGUUUCAGCAACAAUUACAGAAGCAGCAAAAUGCGCAGAGUUCGAGCCGGCAAUCUUAUUCUCUAUCUACAGGUUUUUCUGUCGAAGAAGCUGAUCGGACCCCUUCCAUCAAAUACUCUACAUCAACAUCUUUACCUGUGGUAGUCUACCUUUUCUGAUGUGGAACCUAUGCAAAUACAGUCAGAAGCUAGCCUCGUUGUUGAUCCCACCUGCGUCUAACCGGUACUUCUGGUGAAGUUAGCAUUCUGAUGGAGAACCCGUAAAGAAAUAUAGAUAGUGUGUACAUGUCUUUGGUGGAUUUCUCUGCUGCCUAAAUCUUGCAGGAUAUAAACUAUACUCGGGAAUUGUCUUCCUCAUGUCUGAAGGUGCUUGAUAUGACAGUUGGCUUUUAUGUAAAAUUUGAGCAGUAUGCCAGUGAAACUUUAGCUAUGGAGUCAGGGGGCAACUUCACGAGUAAUCUUCUUCCUUUUUCCCCCCUUAAAAUAUGUAAAUCUAAAUUAAGUGCGUAUACAAUUGAAAAUUGCAGCUCCUGGAUUGUGCUUUGAGUGAAGUAAUGUGAUGAAAUGAGUUGAUGGCA